rnacentral:rRNA from 1 species
GAUGAACGCUGGCGGCGUGCCUAAUACAUGCAAGUCGAGCGAACAGACGAGGAGCUUGCUCCUCUGACGUUAGCGGCGGACGGGUGAGUAACACGUGGAUAACCUACCUAUAAGACUGGGAGAACUUCGGGAAACCGGAGCUAAUACCGGAUAAUAUAUUGAACCGCAUGGUUCAAUAGUGAAAGACGGUUUUGCUGUCACUUAGAGAUGGAUCCGGGACGGAUUAGCUAGUUGGUAAGGUAACGGCUUACCAAGGCAACGAUGCGUAGCCGACCUGAGAGGGUGAUCAGCCACACUGGAACUGAGACACGGUCCAGACUCCUACGGGAGGCAGCAGUAGGGAAUCUUCCGCAAUGGGCGCAAGCUUGACCGAGCCACGCCGCGUGAGUGAUGAAGGUCUUCGGAUCGUAAAACUCUGUUAUUAGGGAAGAACAACUGUGUAAGUAAAUAUGCACGUCUUGACGGUACCUAAUCAGAAAGCAACGGCUAACUACGUG